rnacentral:rRNA from 1 species
ACGAACGCUGGCGGCGUGCUUAACACAUGCAAGUCGAACGGAAAGGCCCUGCUUUUGUGGGGUGCUCGAGUGGCGAACGGGUGAGUAACACGUGAGUAACCUGCCCUUGACUUUGGGAUAACUUCAGGAAACUGGGGCUAAUACCGGAUAGGAGCUCCUGCUGCAUGGUGGGGGUUGGAAAGUUUCGGCGGUUGGGGAUGGACUCGCGGCUUAUCAGCUUGUUGGUGGGGUAGUGGCUUACCAAGGCUUUGACGGGUAGCCGGCCUGAGAGGGUGACCGGCCACAUUGGGACUGAGAUACGGCCCAGACUCCUACGGGAGGCAGCAGUGGGGAAUAUUGCACAAUGGGCGGAAGCCUGAUGCGGCAACGCCGCGUGCGGGAUGACGGCCUUCGGGCUGUAAACCGCUUUCGCCUGUGACGAAGCGUGAGUGACGGUAAUGGGUAAAGAAGCACCGGCUAACUACGUG